GUCGAACGAUGAACCACUUCGGUGGGGAUUAGUGGCGAACGGGUGAGUAACACGUGGGCAAUCUGCCCUUCACUCUGGGACAAGCCCUGGAAACGGGGUCUAAUACCGGAUACCACUUCCACUCGCAUGGGUGGGGGUUGAAAGCUCCGGCGGUGAAGGAUGAGCCCGCGGCCUAUCAGCUUGUUGGUGAGGUAACGGCUCACCAAGGCGACGACGGGUAGCCGGCCUGAGAGGGCGACCGGCCACACUGGGACUGAGACACGGCCCAGACUCCUACGGGAGGCAGCAGUGGGGAAUAUUGCACAAUGGGCGAAAGCCUGAUGCAGCGACGCCGCGUGAGGGAUGACGGCCUUCGGGUUGUAAACCUCUUUCAGCAGGGAAGAAGCGAAAGUGACGGUACCUGCAGAAGAAGCGCCGGCUAACUACGUGCCAGCAGCCGCGGUAAUACGUAGGGCGCAAGCGUUGUCCGGAAUUAUUGGGCGUAAAGAGCUCGUAGGCGGUCUGUCGCGUCGGAUGUGAAAGCCCGGGGCUUAACCCCGGGUCUGCAUUCGAUACGGGCAGACUAGAGUGUGGUAGGGGAGAUCGGAAUUCCUGGUGUAGCGGUGAAAUGCGCAGAUAUCAGG
rnacentral:rRNA from 1 species